rnacentral:rRNA from 1 species
AUUGAACGCUGGCGGCAUGCCUUACACAUGCAAGUCGAACGGUAACAGGUCUUCGGAUGCUGACGAGUGGCGAACGGGUGAGUAAUACAUCGGAACGUGCCUAGUAGUGGGGAUAACUACUCGAAAGAGUGGCUAAUACCGCAUGAGAUCUACGGAUGAAAGCAGGGGAUCGCAAGACCUUGUGCUACUGGAGCGGCCGAUGGCAGAUUAGGUAGUUGGUGGGAUAAAAGCUUACCAAGCCGACGAUCUGUAGCUGGUCUGAGAGGACGAUCAGCCACACUGGGACUGAGACACGGCCCAGACUCCUACGGGAGGCAGCAGUGGGGAAUUUUGGACAAUGGGCGCAAGCCUGAUCCAGCAAUGCCGCGUGCAGGAUGAAGGCCUUCGGGUUGUAAACUGCUUUUGUACGGAACGAAAAGCCCUGGGUUAAUACCCUGGGGUCAUGACGGUACCGUAAGAAUAAGCACCGGUUAACUACGUGCCAGCCGCCGCAGUAACAC